GCUAGAGCUCGAGCCGAUUACGACUACCUCAUAAAGUUCCUUUUGAUCGGCGAUAGCGGUGUGGGUAAGAGUUGCCUCCUUUUGCGUUUUUCAGAUGGUUCAUUUACUACAAGUUUUAUCACUACAAUUGGAAUUGACUUUAAGAUAAGGACUAUAGAGCUUGAUGGAAAAAGGAUCAAAUUGCAAAUUUGGGAUACUGCUGGGCAAGAGCGGUUUCAAACAAUUACAACUGGUUAGUUUUUGGAAUUUGGAGUUGUCACUGACUAGAUACAUGUCUAAUCAGAAUUAUAACAUAUAUGAUUGAUAAAAUAGUUUCAUGGCAUGACUUUGGCAUUGUUCUGACUCUAGCUUGUUUGUUGUGUGUGUUUGUCAUUCUGUAGUACGAGUUACCACUUGUUCUCACUAUUAUUAUCAUAUUCAAUGACCUCUCUGGUGUUUUUGGUCUGUUAGGAAGUCGAGAGUUUUUAUGCUUCCAUGGUUUCAUGCUUUUCAGCCCACCAUUGUUAUACUCUCUAUUGUAUGACAGGACUUACAAAGAACAGGUGGUUGGGAUUGAAAUUGUAGAUGUGCAGCCUUUCAUAUUUCUGGAUACUCUAUGUAUAGAUUAAAGGUGUUUGCAAUUAGUGUUAGCUCUACUGGUGAGUGGUGAUGAAAAUUUUAUGUCUGCAUAGUCUUUUCUUUCACACUCCAAAACAUGGUUACUUGUUCUUUUCGUCUAAGUUACUUCGUUCACUUUAUUUUAGUAGCUCCAGAUGUCUAAUCUCUCUAAUACAUUCAGAUUUUAUUUUCUUCCAGAGUCUUGUAUGAUGUACAGAUGAACUAUGUAACAUUUUCAUUUUGCGCGGCUUA